UAGAGUCAGGCAGGGGAGGCAUCCGGCCUCUGGAAGGCUGGGCUUCAGGUAGUGAAGGCGGUGUGUCACUGCGGUGGUAUCUGGGGAGGCGUGCCGAGCCUCUCCGUGUGCGCGUCCCCUCCAGAAAUCUCCACAUCCCCCUGCUUCUCUCUCCACCAGAGCCGCCUCUCCCUCUGCCGACUGCCUGCCUGCCUGCCUGCCUGCCUGCCUGCCUGUGCCAAGAAGCCUACCCGAAUCGAGGGAAGAGAGAACGGUGCCCGGGAGCGCCUUAACUUCACGCCGGGCGCAAGGGCGGAAGGGGGCCGAUUGGUUGACAGCCGGCUGCCUUGCCUUAAGGAGCAGGGCGUCUGAUGUCAAGCCGCCUCUCCCUCUGCCGACUGCCUGCCUGCCUGCCUGCCUGCCUGCCUGUGCCAAGAAGCCUACCCGAAUCGAGGGAAGAGAGAACGAUGCCCGGGAGCGCCUUAACUUCACGCCGGGCGCAAGGGCGGAAGGGGCCGAUUGGUUGACAGCCGGCUGCCUUGCCUUAAGAAGCAGGGCGUCUGAUGUCAGUGAGUGGGGCGGUUUCGUUGGGGCGAGAGGCCUGGCCGACCUU
rnacentral:lncRNA from 1 species